rnacentral:misc_RNA from 1 species
UCUUUUCUUUUGAUAGGAGAGUUUUUAAAACCAGUGUUAUUUUUGUAAGUUUAAGAGAAGUUUGUGUAUUGAAUUUUUAAUAUUAAAGAGCUUUGUUAAACUUAGACUUAAGUUUAGGUCAUUUUGGGGGUUUAGCUCAGUUGGCUAGAGCAUCGGCUUUGCAAGCCGAGGGUCAAGGGUUCGAGUCCCUUAACCUCCAUUGGGCUUAUGUCCUAAAUCGUAAUUAAGUAUGUUUUUAAGUAACUUUGUUAAAGUAAUUGUUGGAAUGUGAAACAGAGGAAGUUAAAAUUUCUGGGUUAAGUUGAGAUCUGUUGAUAUUAAGAAGAAUCUCUAGAAGCAAAAGCAAGCUUUCGAUAAAACCCGAAGUUGUUUCGCUAAAGUGCAAGGAUUAAACAGGAUUGUAUUUUCCAGUAGCCUAUUUUAUAAACGAUCUGCAUUUAGUAAAUAGUUUUUAGUUAAGAAAUAAUGCAGAUUGCUAAGUGUGAUGCC